rnacentral:rRNA from 1 species
ACGGGUGAGUAACACGUGGGUAACCUACCUAUAAGACUGGGAUAACUCCGGGAAACCGGGGCUAAUACCGGAUAAUAUUUUGAACCGCAUGGUUCGAUAGUGAAAGACGGUUUCGGCUGUCACUUAUAGAUGGACCCGCGCCGUAUUAGCUAGUUGGUAAGGUAACGGCUUACCAAGGCGACGAUACGUAGCCGACCUGAGAGGGUGAUCGGCCACACUGGAACUGAGACACGGUCCAGACUCCUACGGGAGGCAGCAGAG